rnacentral:lncRNA from 1 species
CUGCCCAACUCCAAACUGGACAUAAACUUUUCCUUCAGUAAAAAGGCCUUUAAAUUUAUCCAGAAAAGCUUUUCUUAUCGUUGCAUGUAUUCUAUCUCCCUAAAAUAGAAAAUAAACAAAUUAUUUAGUAUCUUUAAAAAAAAAAUAAAGCAAAUGUAUGUUAAAUUUGAAAAUGAAAUCGUAUCUUACAUUUUGAUCAGAAAGAACUAACUCUAAACUAUUCACCAUCUCUGGGCGAUGAAAUUCAGGCAUAGUAUACAGACAAAUCACUCUAACUUUGAUCUUCCAUUUGUCUCCAAGAGGAGUGAUGUCACGUAUUGAAUCAUACCCAAGUGCCAUAUCCUGAGAAAAAUAAGACAUCCAAUAAAAAAAUUAAUACAUCAUAUUUAAAUAAUAAAAUAAAAAAAUAUAUGUUCUAUUUUAAAGCAUCAACAUUUAAGAACUAAGAAAAUUACAGGAGUGACAGUAGAGAAAACAAAAUUACGAAUGACAGUAGAGAAAAAAAAAUUACGAAGUAAAAAUUAUAUCUAUACUACUUAUAAAUUCUUUCGCAAAGAAUAAUUUCAAAGCAACCGCCAAUCAUUUCGUUUUUACUUUGGUCAUCUAUACCGAUUUUUUCGCAACCAAUCAUUUCAAAUAAUUCGCAACAGAUUAUUGCGUAUUUCGCAACCAAUAAUUUUAAAUAAUUAAUUAUUUGCCAAUACGAAAUUUGAGUUUGACCAUUUUUUUCGCAACUAACCAUUUCAAAUAAUUCGCAACAGAUUAUUGCUUAUUUCGCAACCAAUAAUUUUAAAUAAUUAAUUAUCUGCCAAUACGAAAUUUGAGUUUGCAACAGAUUAUUUCCACCGCGAAAAAAUAAUUCGCAACAGAUUAUUGCGUAUUUCGCAACGAAUAAUUUUAAAUAAUUAAUUAAAUCAAUAAUUUUAAAUAAUUCGUAACCAAAUAUCCAUAUUUGAGUUUGACACGUGGCAAGUAUAUAGAAAGCCACGUGUCAGCUUCUCACAUAGGGUUCAUUAAGGGUUCUACUUUUAUAUAUAGUAAUAGAUGAGAUAUUUUACAAAGAUGGUAUGUUAUGAGAAUGAAAAUUUACCAAAAUGCCCUCAUUGCAAAGAAAAUUAAUUAUUUAGGAUGGUAUAUUUCAUAUUUUAUUACUAAGAGAUUGCAUAAUAUAACUUGUUAUUUGGAAUAUUUUAUAUUUGAAUAUUAUUUUGGAUGCAACAAAAAUUUAAAUUUGCGACAGGUUUAAAUUUUUAUUUAAUACUCAAUUUGUACAAAAAAAAUUUAAAACUAGCUAAACUUUCAAGCUCUUGUUCAAGUCAGGCUCAAGAAUAACGAAUAAGCUAAAUCCUUUUAAUAAUGCAUCAUUUUAUAUUUUGAAUUUGAAUACGACUCAUUAGUAAAGAAAAUCUAAUUUAGGAAAGGUAAUUAUGCAAAGAUGGAAUAUUGAAAGAGAAAGAAUAUUCUGUAUUUACAAGUAUGGUAUGUUAUGAGGAUGAGAAUUUACAAAAAUUCCUUCAGUGCAACUCUAUGUAAUGAGGAAGUUUUUGCAUUCGGUAGGCGGUUGACCGGUACCGAUCACAACAAAAGCAGGUCACCCUUUUAUAAAAGAUGCAUCACUACCGUCCAUUUAAAAAAAUUUAAGGUCUAAGAUUU